GAUGAACGCUGGCGGCGUGCUUAACACAUGCAAGUCGAACGGUGAACGAGGGAGCUUGCUCCCUCCGGAUCAGUGGCGAACGGGUGAGUAACACGUGAGCGAUCUGCCCUGGACUCUGGGAUAAGCGUUGGAAACGACGUCUAAUACCGGAUACGAGACGCGAAGGCAUCUUCAGCGUCUGGAAAGAACUUCGGUCCAGGGUGAGCUCGCGGCCUAUCAGGUAGUUGGUGAGGUAACGGCUCACCAAGCCUACGACGGGUAGCCGGCCUGAGAGGGUGACCGGCCACACUGGGACUGAGACACGGCCCAGACUCCUACGGGGGGCAGCAGUGGGGAAUAUUGCACAAUGGGCGCAAGCCUGAUGCAGCAACGCCGCGAGAGGGACGACGGCCUUCGGGUUGUAAACCUCUUUUAGCAGGGAAGAAGCGAAAGUGACGGUACCUGCAGAAAAAGCACCGGCUAACUACGUGCCAGCCGCCGCCGUAACAC
rnacentral:rRNA from 1 species